GCCAAUCAUGGCGGCUGCUUGUGAGAGGCUGGACGAACUUGUGAAAGAUUAUCUCCUUUACCGUGGUUUUACUGCCACAGUGAAGAUUUUUGACCACGAAAUGAAGCACGAUAAAGACAAAGGGCUCAGAGCUGACAAGAUUGUUGAUCAGCUGCUGGCAUAUAUUAAUGCCUCUGACCUGUCCCAUUUUCGUGAUUACUGGCUUUAUCUUAGCCAAAAUUUUUUUUCACGUUUAGAUCAACGAUACAGUGUCAGUGUGCGGAAGUUGGAGGUCAGUCUUCUGAAGCUAUACCUGGUUACAGCUCAGAUGUAUAACCGAAAAGAUCAAAUUCGGGAAGUCUUUGAGAAGCUGAGCUCAGAUCUUCAGAAUCAACAAGAAUUUAAGGAAUGGUUUGCAUUUCCCUUUAUAGCAAAUCCAGCAGAAAACAGCAGCUUUGGCUUGUAUUUCACUCGACAGUGGCAAGAGACUCUGACGCUGUCUUUGCACAACUUUCUGCAAGUCAUCCUGCAAGCUAUGCCAGUUCCAAUUCUUCUGAAUUUUGAUCAUGACUACCGACAAAUGAAAACUCUGCAAGAAGAGAAUGACAUGUUGAAAGAAAAGCUGCUGCAAGGAGGCCAGGGCAUGGAUAAAAAAGGACUGGAGUCCAGAUCAGCCAAGUCGGGCAUUGUGAUGGCUUCUCAAGCUGUACCUGAGCUAAUCUAUGAUUUCUCUGGACUGGCCAAGGAGACGGAGACUGUGACUGCAAAGCAAAAGUCCUCACGGCGGUUUCCCAUAACCCUUGCAUCACCACUAAUGAGGAGAAGCAAGUAUGAAAUGCCAGCUGAUAACACCUCACCUCCAUUAAACAGUUACAAACUGCAGCAAAAACACAAAGCAGUCACACUGCAGCCUGAUUCGCGUUCUUUCAACCAGUCAUUUAAUAAUUGCACCUCGACAAUCCCAGCACCAGUGGAGAGGCCAGUACUUCAGCCUUCUGUGUCAUUUCCCGGAUCAUCCUUGAUCAAAAAGUUUCCUGGAAUGGGCUCCCCCAGCUCAGCUCACAGAGGACAAUCUGUGGUGAGACAGGAUUCUUCCAGUAAUUUGGAGCUUCAACAAGUGGUGCUAAUGGGAGGCCAGCAGACAUCAAUAGAACAUGAAAUUGUUGCUAGCGGACAUACCAAAGGUGGGAAGGAACUAAUCAGCUUUCCGCCAUACAACAGCCCUCAGUCAGAACUGAGUGCAUCGCAAGCACUUGGUGAUGAAAAGCUACUGCUUGAAAAAGACAAGUCUGCCAGACCCCUGUCUCCAGUCCAGGUGCCCUUUGAUGUUGAGGAAACUGCAGAAAUGUUGGCUGCAGGCAGUGACCAGGAGCUUCAAUGUAUUGAUGUUUUGCGGUUACAACAAACAGGAGAAAAGUCAGGUGCAUCAUGUCCAUUCUUAAGACUGAACGAGGAUGUUUACAAGGAGCACCAGUCCAGCAUUUGUUGUAGCCGGUUUAGCCUGAGUGGUCAGCAUGUAGCCAGCCUAGACAUGGAUGGCAUAGUCAAGGUGUGGUCCUGGAGUCCACAGCCCUCUACAACAGCCACAGUUAUGUCUCGCUCACCUUUCUUGUCACUGGACUGGGCAAGCAAGUCAGACAGAUGGCUGUUGUUGGGAAAUAAUAACGGCUGCAUUCGACUGUUUGAUACACGAGAAUUAAAAACUUUUGGAGAGGUGACUGUAGAACCGCCCUUUCUCAGCGUGCGCCACUUGACUACUUGCCCAGCCUCUAUGAGGUUUGCCUCAAGUUUGGUCACCAUCGGUACAGUACCCAGCAAGAAAUCAGAGAGUGGCAGAAUUGCAUGCUGGGACCUCAAGACCUUGAAACAUGUGCAAUACUUGACUGUGGAGCCCGAGCCGGUGGCAAUAAACUGCUGUGUGUACAACUUCACCGGCCAGACCCUCUUACUGGGGGGGUCUGAUGGGGUUGUACGUCUUUUUGGCUUGAUUACUGCAACUCCUUGCUUGCUGGCUGCCAUGAAACUCCAGAAAGUACAGAACUCUGCUACACGCCUGGUGCUUAGAGCUAGGAAACGACACUUCUCAAGGAAGAUGUGUUUCAAGCUGGAAUGCCCAUAAGAGUCCUGUGCAAACCUUGUAUUAUGGCCAUCGGGAAUCUACCUUCUUUAGUAUGGGUCUGGAUAACAAGCUGAGUGAAUGGAGCCUCAACAAUCCAAAAGAACCGCUGAGACAGAUUCUUGUCAAGAGUGGAGACCAUUCUGCAGGCUUAACAAAGAAGCAGAUGUCAUCUUCUGCAGCACCUGUUAGUCAGUUAUUCAGCUUGAG
rnacentral:misc_RNA from 1 species